CAAAGGAAAACAUGGGGGCGUACCCACCUAACAGAAGGAUGUUUCGCAGGAUGCGAAUCCGCAGGCGUCGUUUUGAUCAAAUCUAACUUUAUUCCAUCUAGUUGGCGUGGGGUUUGCAGUACACGUAUACAGCUAGCAAUUCGGUUAUUCGAACCCCAUUCGUCACUUGGUACAGUUGUAAGACACAUCAAAUAAAAAUAAAAAGAAAAAUUACUGUUAUCAUACAACAAAUAAAUACCAUAUUAAACUCCCCUCUCCUUUUCUUUUCAGAAUUUGAUACAGAAAUCUACAAUAUUCUAUAGAAAAAAGGAAAAUGCCUUCGAUCAAUCCAUUUUUUGAAUAUGUGGCUAAAUACCGUAGAGAACAUCCAGACCUAAAACUACAACGCGUUAUCGUAUCAAGAGCUGCGGAUGAAUAUAAUGCUUUAUCGACAACUCAGAAAAAUCGCUACCGCUAAUAUGAUGAACUAACGGUAUAACGGCAUCCUUGGCACGAUAAAGCAUUAUAUUCAUCCGCAGCUCUUGAUACGAUAACUCGUUGUAGUUUUAGGUCUGGAUGUUCUCUACGGUAUUUAGCCACAUAUUCAAAAAAUGGAUUGAUCGAAGGCAUUUUCCUUUUUUCUAUAGAAUAUUGUAGAUUUCUGUAUCAAAUUCUGAAAAGAAAAGGAGAGGGGAGUUUAAUAUGGUAUUUAUUUGUUGUAUGAUAACAGUAAUUUUUCUUUUUAUUUUUAUUUGAUGUGUCUUACAACUGUACCAAGUGACGAAUGGGGUUCGAAUAACCGAAUUGCUAGCUGUAUACGUGUACUGCAAACCCCACGCCAACUAGAUGGAAUAAAGUUAGAUUUGAUCAAAACGACGCCUGCGGAUUCGCAUCCUGCGAAACAUCCUUCUGUUAGGUGGGUACGCCCCCAUGUUUUCCUUUGCCGUUGGCGGUGUGCCGCCGCGCUAAUUAAUUCGGUGUGGCAAAGAAAUUUUGGUCGAAUCGUAUCGACGUGUUGUACACUUUAUAUGGUCGGAGACUAAGUUACAUCAUUUUCAACGAAUCUAGUAUACCCUUUUAGUCUACGAGUAACGUGUUUAACUACGUGUUGUGACCUACUAACUUGGACAAAAUGGGUGUUGGUUGCAGUGAUCUGCAAUCCUUGCACUUCAGAUUCUACUUUUUGGUUUUGUUGGUGUCCAGCCCCAUUGAUACUGCUAGAGCAGUAUGUUUUCUUAAUAAAACAGCAUCUGCUUUGCUUAUAA